rnacentral:rRNA from 1 species
GACGAACGCUGGCGGCAUGCCUAACACAUGCAAGUCGAACGGGGAUACGAGAGCUUGCUUUUGUAUCUUAGUGGCGGACGGGCGAGUAACGCGUGAGCAAUCUGCCCUUCAGUGGGGAAUAACGUCUGGAAACGGACGCUAAUACCGCAUAACACAACGGAGCCGCAUGACUUUGUUGUCAAAGGAUUUAUUCGCUGAAGGAUGGGCUCGCGUCCGAUUAGCUAGAUGGUGGGGUAAAGGCUCACCAUGGCGACGAUCGGUAGCCGAACUGAGAGGUUGAUCGGCCGCAUUGGGACUGAGACACGGCCCAGACUCCUACGGGAGGCAGCAGUGGGGGAUAUUGCACAAUGGGGGAAACCCUGAUGCAGCAAUGCCGCGUGAGGGAAGAAGGUCUUCGGAUUGUAAACCUAAGUAGCCAGGGACGAUAAUGACGGUACCUGGAGAGUAAGCUCCGGCUA